AAGGGGACAUACAGUGAGGUAUAUAUUUAAAGGGAUACGCAAUGAAGUAUGUGAGUAAGGGGACACGAAGUGAGGUAUGUAUUUAAAGAGACACGCAGUGAGGUAUGUAUUUAAAGGGAUACGCAGUGAGGUAUGUAUUUAAAGAGACACGCAGUGAGGUAUGUAUUUAAAGGGAUACGCAGUGAGGUAUGUGAGUAAGGGGACAUGCAGUGAGGUAUGUAUUUAAAGAGAAACGCAGUGAGGUAUGUAUGUAAAGGGACACGCAAUGAAGUAUGUGAGUAAGAGGACAUGCAGUGAGGUAUGUGAGUACAGGGACACGAGUAUGUGAGUAAGAGAACAUACAGUGAGGUAUGUAUUUAAAAGGACUCCCAAUGAAGUAUGUG